AUUGAACGCUGGCGGCAUGCCUUACACAUGCAAGUCGAACGGCAGCACGGGUGCUUGCACCUGGUGGCGAGUGGCGAACGGGUGAGUAAUACAUCGGAACAUGUCCUGUAGUGGGGGAUAGCCCGGCGAAAGCCGGAUUAAUACCGCAUACGAUCUACGGAUGAAAGCGGGGGGCCUUCGGGCCUCGCGCUAUAGGGUUGGCCGAUGGCUGAUUAGCUAGUUGGUGGGGUAAAGGCCUACCAAGGCGACGAUCAGUAGCUGGUCUGAGAGGACGACCAGCCACACUGGGAGUGAGGCACGGCCCAGACUCCUACGGGAGGCAGCAGUGGGGAAUUUUGGACAAUGGGCGAGAGCCUGAUCCAGCAAUGCCGCGUGUGUGAAGAAGGCCUUCGGGUGGUAAAGCACUUUUGUCCGGAAAGAAAUCCUUGGCCCUAAUACGGUCGGGGGAUGACGGUACCGGAAGAAUAAGCACCGGCUAACUACGUG
rnacentral:rRNA from 1 species